UCUAAUCUUCGAUUAAUUAAUAAUUAGUAGAGAUUACUCAUAACAUUGUAUGCAGGCUUCCUCUAAAAAGUAACACCAUCUUCUUUCCACUAUCUACAUGUGCAACUGCAUAUAUAUGUAUAUAUCCCACCAAGCAAUGCCCUUCUCAUCAAAACUCUCUUCCUCUCUCUGAAAUCACUCUUGCAUACACACACGAACAGAUAUGGGGUAUCAGUCUUAUUCUUCUACGAUAAGCUGUGAAAUCCGAAUCAUUAGAGCCAAAAAUAUAGAUAUCAAAACCCAGGGAGAAGUAUUUGUUAGAUGUUAUCUGUCUGCAGGAAACAACAAAAGAGUCCAAAUAAACACCCAACAUAUCCCAACAAAAUCUGAUUUGCUUUGGAAUGAAACUUUCUCUUUAGACUGCUCGGGAAGUGAUGAGGACUCCAUUUCCUUGCUCAAACAAGGAAGUGUCAUCUUCGAGCUCAGGUGGAGAAGCACUGCGCCAUUCAUUGGCAGAAUCAACGGCUCAAAACUCUUGGGAAGAGCUGAGAUUCCGUGGAAAAAUAUCUUUUUAUCACCAAAUAUGGAAAUUGAGAAUUGGGUUGUAAUGAUCCCAAAUGAUAAUAAAUGGGUAGACGAAGAUGCCAAACCAGCUGCAGUGCAAAUAGGAAUGAAAAUUCAAGAAUCUGCAGUGGCGUCUAUAAAAAGAAGGAAAAAUGAUAGAAAGUGGGAUGAGUGUGGCUGCUGCAUGGAUGGUAUGUGUAGUUCAUGUGUAGAUUAUGACAUUUUUGCUAUUGGAGCUGCUUUUGAAACAUUGUAACUUUAACUAACUAGGUUUGUUCUUGCAUUAAAAUUUUGGAUUAAUGUAUUCAAAAUCUGUAUUUAUUUUUUUGUGGCAAUUCAACUAGUUAAAUUGCAAAAUUUUCAGUUAGUCUUUGCCUUUCCUCAAGCAUUUUCAUCGUUUCCAAGCAUCAAUUAAAAUGGAAUAUAUAACAGAUAUCCACUAUAAGUCAUUCUAUCUGAGGAACCAGUAAAAAUCAUUACAUGCUGGGAUUAAUUUCUUAGUCGGUAAUGAAGAAGAUACUGAAGCCAAAUAUGGAGGAUUUCUAGUUAAGGUUUCCAAUACGCUCGUGGUUCUAGAUUUGAGAGGAUUCGAUGGCAAACAUCGAUGUUACAUAGAAGAAUUAUUGGCAAGAGAGAUGAUUGUAGCUGAAUGGCCUAUUGAAGGAUAGAAUGGCGGGAUAUGCGAAUGUGAUAAAUGUGAAAAUGUUUGAAAGAAGAUGUAUUAUUUAGAUAUCUAGAAAAUAAAUGUUAUGUUAUUUGUUGUAGCUCACAGCAGCAGUCGUUCUACGUGGCACACAUGUGACAAUUAGUAAUUUGAUACAUUAAUGUGAUAGUUUUUUUUUUAUUAUCUUAUGCAACAAAUCACUAACCGUCGCAUGUAUGCUACUUAGGACAAUUGUGAUAGUGAGUGAUUAUAAAUAGCAUUAUUCUUUCUUUAUCCGAGCCCAACUAUAGUUGAGCUUAAUUAACCUAAUUAUCGGCGUGACGAAAAUGGCCGGGCAAAGGUUUGGCCUUGAACGAGUCAUUUCAAGAUUAAUCUAAAAUUUGAGCAGGUCAUCAACAUCUCUAACCUUUGUGCACUUGUGAUGUAACAUUGUAACUGAGUGCAAGAACAUUAGCUUUUAAUGAUUUUUUUGGAUUAUUAUAAAAGAUUUGUAUAUGUAUCAAGUUGAUAAGUUGAAAUUCGUUUUUUACGUAUCAAGUUGACAACUAAGAUUUCAUUUGUAAUGGAAGAUCAUUUAUGUUUUUUAAUUACCUGAUGCGUAUUAGUGUUUCGAUUACUAAUCUAUAUCUCAAGGUGAUUUUUGGCCCUUUUUCAAUUCAGUUGUUCCUAUCGAUUAACUAAGAUAAGUACUUGAGCAGCACUUUAUUGCCCAUGUGUGAAUAUGCUUUUCCUAAAGAAAUCAACUAGUUGUGUGUCAUGGCCAAUUGCUCAGUGCUAGACGACUAGAAACCCAAUUUUUUAUAAUGUGAUAUUUGUCGACUGUCGUAAUGUUAUAUUCCGAUGUUUAUCUAAUAAAUUUAUCAUUAUUUUGAAUGUUAUGUAGUAAAAUGUAUCAUGGACGUUUUAGACGAUCGAUGUCUCUAUUAAAGUUAAUUAUUAUAUGCAUAUAGUUUAAUUGAACUUGACAUAAAUUAUGUGAUAUAUACAUUUUUUUUUUAUUGUAUGCUUAUCAUUAAUAACUUGCCAUUUAUACGUAAACUCAAUCUACCAAUGUUUUGAAACGAUUCAUUUCUAUUCUGAGUAAAUUCUAUAUAAAUUAAUUAGAUUGACAAAUAGAACUAAUAUUUAGGAUUAAAUUGUUUAGUAUAUGUAAUUUUUGUGUUCUAAUUAACUCAUCCCAUCCCUAUAUAGGUGCUUAUUAGGGUUUAUUCUUAUAAUUCACUUUUUUUUUUUUUGCCCGAAUUUGAGAAUUUUUUAAAAUAAGAAUUAGGAUGACGUUUGAGAGUCAUACAAAAGUACCAAACCUUUGGAAUUUCAAGUUGCACUACCAAACCAGUGCAUUUUGUUAGUUCUAUUUUUUUUAAAUAAUUUAUGUCUCAAUUAAUUUUCAUAAUUGGUGAGAGAUAAGAUGAUAUACUUUACAACACAUGCUAGAAGGGCAACUUUCUCGAAUUAUUAUUUUGUGACACACACUAAACUAGCAAGCCUAUGACCAAGAAUAAGCUCAUGUUUGGGAGUUGUUUACAAUCGAUUAAAAUUAUAAUCAGAUAGAAAUACGUCGUGAAUAAGUUGGUAGUCCUUGUGGGACUAUGAAAAGUUUAUAAACAGAACCCAAACAUGGGCCAAGUCAAUCACACUUAACUAAAUUACAGUCAACUGAUAAAAUCAAGAAUGCACUUCAUGCCAAAAAUACUUCAAAUGACAACUAAAUUACAUUCCAUAAGUACAAAAGUAGUAAUGGAUAAAGUGAUCGAGAAAAGCACAUAAGGGUCCUCAUAGUGAUAUUGACUCCUUUUGCUAGAAGUUCAUCAACUUGUAAAUCAUGCACAAACAAAUAAAAGAUAUAGACUCUGUUAACUAACUUGCCCAAAUGGUAAGAUUGUUAGAAAGGGAAGAAAUAUAUUUUUAUCUUCAAAAUAUCACUUCUUGUGUAGGUUAAAAUUACCUCCUUUAAUCAUCUCAAAAUAUGAGGUGGAAUUUAUAAAUCGAGUCGCCGUAAGAAUUUAUCUUAUAGUAUCAUCUCGAGCUUGGAUAGUCUAGAUUGUUUUUACAUCCCUAACUUCGAAUCAUACCAGUACUAUAUCAAAUAGUCUCGCAUAAAUAACACAUUAGAAGCUUGAACCUUCAUUCUUUCUCCUUGCAAUCUUUGCAAGUAACAAUAAAUACCUUUUAAUCUACACCGAUCAAUGAAUUUGAUUGAUCAAUUAUGUAUUGUGGGGACUGUUAAUAUUGAAUUAACUGAUUGAUCAAUUAAAUAAGUCAUAUUUAAUUCAACUAAAAAAGUUGAUAUAAAUUUAAGUUAAAGCGAAUAAUUAUUUUUAACCAUAUAUUUCUUGAAAUUCGUAAUUCUUCAACUGCACAUUUUAUCAAUUUAUUUAUUAAAAAUCUGAUUUUUAUCAAAAAGAGCAUAGACUGCAUCAAGUCAUAAAAUAAAAUUGGGCUUUAAAAAGUGACCCCCAAUUUAAAGCCCACGUUCACUGAGUUGACAGAUAACCCAAGUCCAAUUAAAGCCCUCCUCCUCAACGUACCGAUGAAAACCGAAUUCACCGAGCCAUCGCCGAGAGCUUCAUUCCGCUUUAGUGGUGCACGUCAACAAUCGAUGAUUGAUACGUCACAUUAGCGAUAUCAUUAUGUGCAAUAAUUAUGUAAAAAUAGAAUUUUUAUUAUCAAAAUUCUUACCAAACAAGCACUUAAUCAAUAUUCUAAGAAUGGGAAGCAGACUAGGAAGAAGAGUAGUUAAUUUUGCUAAUCUUCCCAUAAAACUCCUCGUGCCUUCUUCUUUAUCCAAUAUUUCCGAAAUUGCUAUCAAAACCAUUCCCUCCGCUUCAAAGGUUCAAUAUGGGUAUUUGAGUUUAUAUAUGUAACGUAUAAUCGUUAAUUAUCUUUUGAUAUUUAAUUAUUUAAAUCUUGCAGAUUGAGAUUAAGCGGGUUUUAGAAUCACUUUACGGAUUCGAGGUGGAGAAAGUCCGGACUCUAAACAUGGAGGGCAAGAUGAAGAAGCGAGGAGACUAAUGUGACCCUCAAAAACCCAUUGUCCGUAAACCCGGACCUUUACCCAAUAUGGAUAAUUAAAGCGGGCAAAAGGAGUUUGAAUAAGCAGUCUAAAUCGAGCAUUGUGGAGGACCCGGAAGCUAUAAAGAAGUCGCAUUGGCUUGAUGAAAAGAAAGAUGGCAGGAGAUUUAAUAGGCCGGAAGGGCGUACCUUUGGUUGCCGUGGUGGCAGUGAUGGUGAUGGAGCAGUGGCCACGAGCUCGGGGGCAAAAUUUCCAUGGAGCAGUAUGAGGUCUUUUG
rnacentral:lncRNA from 1 species